rnacentral:rRNA from 1 species
AACGAACGCUGGCGGCAUGCCUAACACAUGCAAGUCGAACGAUCCCUUCGGGGAUAGUGGCGCACGGGUGCGUAACGCGUGGGAACCUGCCCUUAGGUUCGGAAUAACUCAGAGAAAUUUGAGCUAAUACCGGAUAAUGUCUUCGGACCAAAGAUUUAUCGCCUUUGGAUGGGCCCGCGUUGGAUUAGCUAGUUGGUGGGGUAAAGGCUCACCAAGGCGACGAUCCAUAGCUGGUCUUAGAGGAUGAUCAGCCACACUGGGACUGAGACACGGCCCAGACUCCUACGGGAGGCGGCAGUGGGGAAUAUUGGACAAUGGGCGAAAGCCUGAUCCAGCAAUGCCGCGUGAGUGAUGAAGGCCCUAGGGUUGUAAAGCUCUUUUACCAGGGAUGAUAAUGACAGUACCUGGAGAAUAAGCUCCGGCUAACUCCGUGCCAGCCGCCGCCGUAAGAC